AGAUCAUGAACAACCUGAACCUCCCUAAGCCUAAAAAAUUAGAUAUUUCAGUGCCCGCUAAUCUGGUUUGUGGACUGCACCAUGUUUGAAUGUGCUGCACGAAAGACGAUACCAAUGACAUCAUUGCACAGUGAUAGACAUUCUGUGUCUGUUUAGCAGAAUUAAUCAAACUGCUUGCCAUAAAGUGCCUUAUUGUGGUUCUGUGUCUAAAUCUAAACUGUAUAUUUUAAUUGCUGUUAUCAUUUAUAGUGCAGCUACUGAUCAAUUGUACUUGAAAUAAAUCUGCUUCUAUUUUGGAUAUUCAAAAUAGUUAAUAUCUGUAUUUGAUGAAAUAACAGUAAUGGUACCCUUUGUUAACUGUGUAAAGUUAAAAGUAAGUUGACUUUAUUCAGAUUUGUUAUUAUGUGUAAAUUUGGGGGGGAAGAGGAAAGCUUGGAUAGGAUUGUUACACUGAAGGGUUCAGUUUAGAAUUUGUGAAUGCUUAAAAGGUACAAUUGUGUCGUGUAGUCAAGGCCUCACACACUCACAGUACCACAAGCAGUGGCCUCUUUUAAUAGCAGGAAAAUAAAACUUAUGCUGUUUGCAUUUAAAACCAAUAACAGCUAAGAUGUUACUGCACAACAUGUCAUAGCAUUAUGAGCUCACAGGUUCCUUUUAUAUGUUGAAAAUGAUGAUUAUUACUUACUCUCUAUCUCUAAAAGAAGGAAUCAGACUGCAGUGACCCAUGCAUGCUGUUCUUGUAUUUAACAGAUCCUCAGCCAGUAAGACGGGUUUGUUUUAGAGUGCUUCCCUUUGACUCAGCCACACAAACUUGCAGCUGUGUGACAAUUUGAGCCUGAGGUUUUUGGAGGCCAGAAUCAAAAUGUUCAUAAACAAGUGAUUUCAUGUGAAUAUAACUUUUUACUAUUGAAUUUUAUUAAGAGAGCACCAAAUCAGUUGUAUGUAUCAAUUCUGGUUCUCUCUUCAUGGGGGAACACCAGGUUAACUCUGACUUUUUAUAUCUUUUGCUGCUAUGGAUGAAGCCCUGUGGUGAUGAUGGUUUGAGCCUGAAAACCCGAGUGAAUAUGGAUGUCUCAUAUUCACCAAAGAUUGUCAUUAAAUAAAUUCCAAGUUGAAUGAA